rnacentral:piRNA from 1 species
AAAAGAACCUACAAAGCAGCCC